CACCCCAUCCUAUCCGCUCAGCCACCAAAUUCCCCACUCAUCCCCUUUUCUUCCGUCGCUCCGCUCCAUGGUGGUUCUCGCCGGCCGCCCCUGCCACCAGAUUCCCUCGACGACGCCCCAUCAGCUCCCACCCACCUCCACCGCCCUAUCCCUCCCUUCUCGCCACCCAGAUCUCGCCGCGACCGCCCGCCGCAGCGGCCAGAUCUCCACUUCCGGCCGCCCGCCUCGCGAGGAUCAUCCGUCCGCCGCUCCCCCACGACCCCGCACACACGUCCCUCGUCGGAUCGUGUGUGUGCGCUCGCGUGCGGAAGCGGUUAGGGAACGGCGGAGAGGAGCUCGGAGGCGAUCUGAGGGAGGGGCGCGUGUCCCAUUUCCUGCUCCCGUGGGUUGCGAUCCGUUCAUCGGCUGUAGAUCCGCCAAGCUGCAGGUCGUCGACCUCUACUACAACUAGCUAAAUAUUCGGGCGAUAUCGCUGGCGAGCUGAGACGGGCAACGUCUUCGGCGAGCUGAGACGGAGCUGGCGACGAGAAGGCGACGUCACCGGCGAGCUGAGACGGACGACGUCACCGGAGUCUGUGUUUUCUAAACAUACUCUUGGUCUGUGCGUUGUAAUGCGUUGUAAUAUAAUACCUGUUCUAUUUAAAUAAAAUAAAGAGAUAACUUGA